UGGGGAAUAUUGCACAAUGGGCGCAAGCCUGAUGCAGCCAUGCCGCGUGUGUGAAGAAGGCCUUCGGGUUGUAAAGCACUUUCAGCGGGGAGGAAGGCGAUAAGGUUAAUAACCUUGUCGAUUGACGUUACCCGCAGAAGAAGCACCGGCUAACUCCGUGCCAGCAGCCGCGGUAAUACGGAGGGUGCAAGCGUUAAUCGGAAUUACUGGGCGUAAAGCGCACGCAGGCGGUCUGUCAAGUCGGAUGUGAAAUCCCCGGGCUCAACCUGGGAACUGCAUUCGAAACUGGCAGGCUAGAGUCUUGUAGAUGGGGGUAGAAUUCCAGGUGUAGCGGUGAAAUGCGUAGAGAUCUGGAGGAAUACCGGUGGCGAAGGCGGCCCCCUGGACAAAGACUGACGCUCAGGUGCGAAAGCGUGGGGAGCAAACAGG
rnacentral:rRNA from 1 species